UCGUUUAGGAUCAGGUUCAGAGUAUGGUAUGCUCAUUUAGGAUGGAAUCCAAUCUAUUCACAAGCCACCACCUAGCCCAGCUGGUAAACAAUGUGAACCAAGACGCUUAGGUCUGGGGUUCGAAUCCCACCACUGGAUAUUUUUUUCUUGUUGAUGUGCAUGCGCCAUGGUGCUGCUACUUCUUUUCGGAAGAAUCCUGUGCUAUAUCACAAUAGAGUGCUAGCAAAGGUGGCUAGCGCAGCCAACUCUUAUGCAAGGGCAAUUGGGAUCGAAUCCCAGAUUGUCCCAUUUUUGUUUCUUCUUUUUUUCUUCUGCACUAGGAUUUUGUGAAUUUCAGAAGAAAAAACAUCGAUUUUCUAACACCCGUAGCUUUUAGACCGUGUACCGGAUCGAGACAAGUUAUAUAUGAAACUUGACUAGAAUUUUGCGUAGAUUAACAAUUUACAACUCUCAUGCAUGUUUAAGGCUGUUAGCACGCUGUUUGUGUCGGUUUACGUGUCGAUGUGUUGAAAACGGUUUAGGUCGUAGUUAUUUAACCGUAGCUCCGUUGGAGAUGUUCUAUAUAUGUAAAUCGAGUAGAACGACGUGUAGAAUCUCAUGCUCCNN
rnacentral:lncRNA from 1 species